rnacentral:rRNA from 1 species
UGGGGAAUAUUGCACAAUGGGCGAAAGCCUGAUGCAGCGACGCCGCGUGAGGGAUGACGGCCUUCGGGUUGUAAACCUCUUUCAGCAGGGACGAAGCGCAAGUGACGGUACCUGCAGAAGAAGCACCGGCUAACUACGUGCCAGCAGCCGCGGUAAUACGUAGGGUGCAAGCGUUGUCCGGAAUUACUGGGCGUAAAGAGUUCGUAGGCGGUUAGUCGCGGCGUUUGUGAAAACCAGCAGCUCAACUGCUGGCUUGCAGGCGAUACGGGCAGACUUGAGUACUGCAGGGGAGACUGGAAUUCCUGGUGUAGCGGUGAAAUGCGCAGAUAUCAGGAGGAACACCGGUGGCGAAGGCGGGUCUCUGGGCAGUAACUGACGCUGAGGAACGAAAGCGUGGGUAGCGAACAGG